UACGUAGGUGGCAAGCGUUGUCCGGAUUUACUGGGUGUAAAGGGCGUGCAGCCGGGAAGACAAGUCAGAUGUGAAGUCCCGCGGCUCAACCGCGGAACUGCAUUUGAAACUGUUUUUCUUGAGUACCGGAGAGGUCAUCGGAAUUCCUUGUGUAGCGGUGAAAUGCGUAGAUAUAAGGAAGAACACCAGUGGCGAAGGCGGAUGACUGGACGGCAACUGACGGUGAGGCGCGAAAGCGUGGGGAGCAAACAGG
rnacentral:rRNA from 1 species